GACGGAGGGGGCUAGCGUUGUUCGGAAUGACUGGGCGUAAAGGGCGCGUAGGCGGUUUUUUAAGUGAGGCGUGAAAGCCCUGGGCUUAACCCAGGAGGUGCGUUUCAGACUGAAAGACUUGAGUGCGAGAGAGGAAAGUGGAAUUCCUGGUGUAGCGGUGAAAUGCGCAGAUAUCAGGAAGAACACCCGUGGCUAAGGCGGCUCUCUAGUACGGUACUGACGCUGAGACGCGAAAGCGUGGGGAGCGAACAGG
rnacentral:rRNA from 1 species